rnacentral:rRNA from 1 species
GACGAACGCUGGCGGCGUGCCUAAUGCAUGCAAGUCGCACGCGGCACCUUCGGGUGCUGAGUGGCGAACGGCUGAGGAACAGGUGGGGACCUGUCCGGGAGUGGGGGACAACACCGCGAAAGCGGUGCUAAUCCCGCAUACGCUCUGAGGAGGAAAGCCGAAAGGCGCUCCCGGGUGGCCCUGCGGCCCAUCAGGUUGUUGGUGGGGUAAAGGCCUACCAAGCCAAUGACGCGUCGCUGGUCUGUGAGGACGCCCAGCCAGACUGGGACUGGGACACGGCCCAGACUCCUACGGGAGGCAGCAGAAAGGAAAUUUCGGCAAUGGGCGCAAGCCUGACCGGGCAACGCCGCGUGCAGGAAGACGGCUUUCGGGUUGUAAACUGCUUUUGCUAGGCAUGAUAACAGACAGUACCUGGCGAAUCAGCCCCGGCUAACUCCGUG